AACGCACAUUGCGCCCCUUGGUAUUCCGGGGGGCAUGCCUGUUCGAGCGUCAUUAUAACCCUCAAGCCUAGCUUGGUGUUGGAGCAUGCUAUCUAGCAGCUCUUAAAAUCAGUGGCAGUGCCUUCCGGCUCUAAGCGUAGUAAUUCUUCUCGCUAUAGAAACCGGUUGGUCCGCGCCAGAACCCCCAAUUUUCUAUGGUUGACCUCGGAUCAGGUAGGGAUACCCGCUGAACUUAA
rnacentral:misc_RNA from 1 species